UGGGGAAUAUUGGACAAUGGGCGAAAGCCUGAUCCAGCAAUGCCGCGUGUGUGAAGAAGGCCUUCGGGUUGUAAAGCACUUUCAGGGGUGAGGAAGUUAUCAUGGCUAAUAUCCAUGAUCGUUGACGUUAACCCAAGAAGAAGCACCGGCUAACUCUGUGCCAGCAGCCGCGGUAAUACAGAGGGUGCAAGCGUUAAUCGGAAUUACUGGGCGUAAAGGGUGUGUAGGUGGUUAUGUAAGUCAGGUGUGAAACCCUCAGGCUUAACCUGAGAUUGUCGCUUGAUACUGCAUAGCUAGAGUACUGUAGAGGGUAGUGGAAUUUCCAGUGUAGCGGUGAAAUGCGUAGAUAUUGGAAGGAACACCAGUGGCGAAGGCGACUAUCUGGACAGUUACUGACACUGAGACACGAAAGCAUGGGGAGCAAACAGG
rnacentral:rRNA from 1 species